UACGUAGGGUGCAAGCGUUAAUCGGAAUUACUGGGCGUAAAAGCGUGCGCAGGCGGUUUUGUAAGUCUGUCGUGAAAUCCCCGGGCUCAACCUGGGAAUUGCGAUGGAGACUGCAAGGCUAGAAUCUGGCAGAGGGGGGGUAGAAUUCCACGUGUAGCAGUGAAAUGCGUAGAGAUGUGGAGGAACACCGAUGGCGAAGGCAGCCCCCUGGGUCAAGAUUGACGCUCAUGCACGAAAG
rnacentral:rRNA from 1 species